UGGGACAUGACCAGUCUAAGGGGGCUUCCAGCCUUGCAGAAAAGACACUGGGCCAGGGCAGUGAAGAAGGUGUCAGAUCAGAAAGGAUGAUCUCUGGGUCCACAACGGCCACUUCCAAGGCACCUAGAGAGGGGGAAACAGUUUGCCUUCCCCAGGAUUUUCUGAUUGUUGAAAAAUACCAUGAACUGCCUGACACAGAGCGGAGCAUAAAUCAUUGGAAAAUACUCAGAUUCUAGUGGAUUUACUAGAACACACUGGGAGUCAUGGAUGAACCUGGAUUUUAAAGCUCAACCCACAGCCCGCCACUCUCUACUUGUGUGGUCUUGGUCUAUCUACAACCUUAAAGCCUCAGUAUUCUCCUCCGUAAAUUGGCGGGGAGCAAUAUCACCCUUGCAGGGUGAUGGUUACGGGUAAACUACAUUUGAAACGUUUUUAUAGUUUAUAGUAACAGAAAUCAAAUAUGAGCUUCCUGCCUUCUGGAGAAAAAGAAUUGGAUCUUUCACAUUUUUCUAUUACCCAUAUGAUCACAUCUUAAUGCAUAUUGAUUGAACUGUACCAAAUGACGAAGUACUGCAUUUUACCAUUCUUACUACACACUUCAAAGAGGUGUGGAAAUAUAUUAAGUAGAAAUUAGGAUAUAUAGAGAAAACAUCCCUCCUCCAAAAGAGGUUUCUGCAACUAACUACGAAGUGAGAACUUCUAAAAUCACUUACAUCUUUUGCAAUAUCAUCUCAGAUAUUGUAAGAAACAUUUAAUAAAUAGUCAUGACUUAAUGAUAUCAACCCUGGAUUAAAUGACUCUAAUUCUGUGUCACUUUUGUGUAAUGUAAAGAUACCGAUUGUGAAUAUAAGACUCAAAUAUGGGAAAACUGCCAGAUACAAAAAUACAGCCGCUAAGCAAUAUUUCUGUUCAUCACCGAGGAAUCUCAUUUCCAAAGUGCCCCAGUUUUUAAGAGGAAGAACACCAGAGUCAGACAGACCCAUAGCAGCUGAGUCUAACCUUUCUGAAGCUCUGUUACCUCAUCUUAUAAAAUGAGGAUAAUAUAGGUAGCUGUCAUUCAAUGAAGGAAUGCAUACAACAUGCUUAGCAUAACACCUGUCACAUGGUAAGUGCUCCAGGGUCACCACCUAUCAUUGUUUCCAGCAUACAGUUAUCACCCCACCGACAUGUAGCCCCUCCCUCAUGAGCUCAAGAGCCCCCAGCACGUGUUCUACUCACACACGCACAAGCUUCAGUGUCCCUUAAGAUGUUAUCUCCUGGAAAGUAGGAACAGAAAGAGAAUAUUUUCAGGUAGUUUGGAACAGAAUGAAUAACAUUCACAUUCCUUGCCCAAGUCAGUACAGAUUAAUUUCCAUCAUUUCCAACUCAUACUUUAUACAUUUCCCAUAAGAGGAAAAUCAUGCUGGUUUUCAGUAGCAUAUGAAAAAAAAAAAAUUCCAAGAGGAUUCUUUUGCCAAGCCACUUCAUUACAGCUUCCCCUUAGAGGAUACCAAAGAAGCACAGGGAUAUUGGAAAGGUGUCACCAUAGCAACAUUGUAAUAGACAGAUGACAAUAGAGUAAAAGCGAAGAAAGCACAUUUGCAUAGUCAUUGACAAACUUGGACCUACAGUCAUAUUGCUCUGGGCAGCAGUGCUCAGAGUCCAAGGGCUACUCAAAGUAAAUUUGGUAAGAGGCUAUUUCUAUUCAUUUUGGCUGAGUCUGACUACCCAGUUCAUUGUGCUCAUGUGUGUGCUAAUUGUAAUUGUUACAGGCAGUUCACUAACAAACAGCAGACAUCCUCAAGAGUCCCUUUCAUCCUAAGCAAUGUGAGUUCACAAAUCUAAAUGUGUACCUAAUAAAUCUUCAAUAGUAAAGCGUACUUCCU
rnacentral:lncRNA from 1 species